rnacentral:lncRNA from 1 species
AUGAAUCAAUUAUAUUUUCCCAUCCCUGUCCCUUUGGAAGUAUCAAUUCAGGCAAGGGGAGUCCAUGCUGUUUGCACAAUAUGGCUAAUUUUUCAAGUGUGGCCAGUAAAGCCUUCAGGAGACAUAUGCCUUUCAAAGGAAUCAAAGACAGAGCAAACUCUUUGGUUUGACCUCCAGUUAGAUUCUGCUCUGUGCUACAUUCUCUUUUUUUUCUUUUUUUCUUUUUUUUAUCAUCAUCAUCAUCAUUAGUCAUACAUACAAAACAAAAAACUAAAACCUGACAAAAAACCACACCAAUAACAUAAAAACAUCAAAAGUAAACAUCCAUAUUGCACCUAUAGAUCAGACAUUUCGCCAUUGCCUGGUCAUCUAAAUAUCAUCAAAAGAUUGUAGUGAACACUGAUUCACCAUAAACUGUUUCUUCCCCAAAGUUCCUGUCUUUUCCUAGGCCCAAUUAUAUAUAAGCUUUCCAGCUUUCCUUUACAAAGUGUCUUGGCUGAU